rnacentral:rRNA from 1 species
GAUGAACGCUGGCGGCGUGCCUAAUACAUGCAAGUCGAGCGAACAGACGAGGAGCUUGCUCCUCUGACGUUAGCGGCGGACGGGUGAGUAACACGUGGAUAACCUACCUAUAAGACUGGGAUAACUUCGGGAAACCGGAGCUAAUACCGGAUAAUAUAUUGAACCGCAUGGUUCAAUAGUGAAAGACGGUUUUGCUGUCACUUAUAGAUGGAUCCGCGCCGCAUUAGCUAGUUGGUAAGGUAACGGCUUACCAAGGCAACGAUGCGUAGCCGACCUGAGAGGGUGUAGCCCCCCACUGGAGCGGGAAGACGGUCCAGGCUCCUAGGGGAGGCAGCGGUGGGGAAGCGACCGCGAUGGGGGGAAGAUUGACGGAGGAGCGCAACGUGGAUGAUGAGGGGCGGCGGAUCGUAAGACUCUGUUAUGGUGGAAGAACAAAUGCGUAAGUAACGAAGCACGUCUUGACGGUACCGAGUCAGGAAGCAAAGGCUAACUACGUG